rnacentral:tRNA from 1 species
GCGAGUGUCAUAUAACGGCUAUUAUCCUAGCCUUCCAAGCUAGAGACGCGGGUUCGACUCCCGCCACUCGCU